CUGGAAUGAUGAAAGUUAGCCAAAUCGUAUACUGAUGUGCUCCUCCUUGUGUUAUUUUUGUCUUGUGCACUUGGUGAAAAAUCUCUUCUUUCCCAAGCACAUGAUAAUAUAACUGGAGUUGAAGUUUGCAUCAGUAUGUGAUGAUAAAAACGGGGAUUGGUAACUUACUGACCAGA
rnacentral:snoRNA from 1 species